UUUCCGUAGGUGAACCUGCGGAAGGAUCAUUCAUAAUAAGUGUUUUACUGCACUUUUUAAAAAUAGUACUCACCUUGUGUGCAAUGUUGCGUUUCUUUUCGGAGAAACACCUACACCAACCUAUAACCUUGAACCACUUUGUCUGAAAAACUAUUAUGAAUACUUAAUUCAAAAUACAACUUUCAACAACGGAUCUCUUGGCUCUC
rnacentral:misc_RNA from 1 species